rnacentral:rRNA from 1 species
GGCGAUCAGAUACCGCCCUAGUUCUGACCGUAAACGAUGCCAACUAGCGAUCUGCCGGCGGAUAUUUCGCCCUGGUGGGGAGCUUUCCGGAAACGAAAGUCUUCCGGUUCCGGGGGAAGUAUGGUUGCAAAGCUGAAACUUAAAGGAAUUGACGGAAGGGCACCACCAGGAGUGGAGCCUGCGGCUUAAUUUGACUCAACACGGGGAAACUCACCCGGGCCGGACACCGUAAGGAUUGACAGAUUGAUAGCUUUUUCAUGAUUCGGUGGAUGGUGGUGCAUGGCCGUUCUUAGUUCGUGGAGCGAUUUGUCUGGUUUAUUCCGAUAACGAGCGAGACUCUAGCCUACUAAAUAGUUCGCACAUUGUCAACUUGUGUGCGCUUACUUCUUAGAGGGAUUUUCGGUGUUCAGCCGCACGAGAUUGAGCAAUAACAGGUCUGUGAUGCCCUUAGAUGUCCGGGGCUGCACGCGCGCUACACUGGCGAAAUCAGCGUGCUUAUCCUCUCUCGAAAGGGAUUGGUAAACCAAUGAAAAUUUGCCGUGAUUGGGAUCGGAAAUUGCAAUUAUUUUCCGUGAACGAUGAAUUCCAAGUAAGUGCGAGUCAUCAACUCGCGUUGAUUACGUCCCUGCCCUUUGUA